rnacentral:rRNA from 1 species
AUUGAAUGCUGGCGGCAUGCCUUACACAUGCAAGUCGAACGGUAACAGGCCUUCGGGCGCUGACGAGUGGCGAACGGGUGAGUAAUGCAUCGGAACGUGCCCAGUCGUGGGGGAUAACGCAGCGAAAGCUGUGCUAAUACCGCAUACGAUCUGCGGAUGAAAGCGGGGGACCUUCGGGCCUCGCGCGAUUGGAGCGGCCGAUGUCAGAUUAGGUAGUUGGUGGGGUAAAGGCUCACCAAGCCAACGAUCUGUAGCUGGUCUGAGAGGACGACCAGUCACACUGGGACUGAGACACGGCCCAGACUCCUACGGGAGGCAGCAGUGUGGAAUUUUGGACAAGGGGGGCAAGCAUGAUCCAGCAAUGCCGCGUGCAGGAAGAAGGCCUUCGGGUUGUAAACUGCUUUUGUACGGAGCGAAAAGGCUCCCUCUAAUACAGGGGGCUCAUGACGGUACCGUAAGAAUAAGCACCGGCUAACUACGUGCCAUCCGCCGCCGUAA